rnacentral:rRNA from 1 species
AUUGAACGCUGGCGGCAGGCCUAACACAUGCAAGUCGAACGAGUGGCGGACGGGUGAGUAAUGUCUGGGAAACUGCCUGAUGGAGGGGGAUAACUACUGGAAACGGUAGCUAAUACCGCAUACCAUCAGAUGUGCCCAGAUGGGAUUAGCUUGUUGGUGGGGUAACGGCUCACCAAUGCGACGAUCCCUAGCUGGUCUGAGAGGAUGACCGCCCACACGGUAACAGAGAAACGGUCCAGACCCCUACGGGAGGCAGCAGUGGGGAAUAUUGCACAAUUGGCGCAAGCCUGAUGCAGCCAUGCCGCGUGUAUGCAGAAGGCCUUCGGUUUGUAAAGUACUUUCAGCGGGGAGGCGUUACCCGCAGAAGACGCACCGGCUAACUCCGUGCCAGCAGCCGCGUAAUUC